rnacentral:rRNA from 1 species
AUUGAACGCUGGCGGCACGCCUAACACAUGCAAGUCGAACGGCAGCACAGAGGGGUAACUCUUGGGUGGCGAGUGGCGGACGGGUGAGUAACGCGUAGGAAUCUGCCCUAAAGUGGGGGAUAACUCGGGGAAACUCGAGCUAAUACCGCAUAAUCCCUAAGGGGUAAAGGGGGGGACUAACUUCGGUUGGCCUCUCGCUUUAGGAGGAGCCUGCGUAGGAUUAGCUAGUUGGUAGGGUAAUGGCCUACCAAGGCUACGAUCUUUAGCUGGUUUGAGAGAACGAUCAGCCACACUGGGACUGAGACACGGCCCAGACUCCUACGGGAGGCAGCAGUGGGGAAUAUUGGACAAUGGGGGAAACCCUGAUCCAGCGAUGCCGCGUGCGUGAAGAAGGCCUGCGGGUUGUAAAGCACUUUAGUUGGGGAAGAAAGAGUCUAGACUAAUACUCUAGGCCGUUGACGUUACCCAAAGAAUAAGCACCGGCUAACUCUGUGCCAGCAGCCGCGGUAA